GUAGAUUUCUGUUGUUGAAGUGUUUGCAGAUGUUGGAAAUGUUUUAAAUUUUUUUCCAUCAGUUUCAAUGAAAAGAUGAAUGUAUAGAGCCAGUUGCAAAACUAAAAUCAGCUAGAUUUGUGAAGGAAAUGAGCUACUUUUAUUUGUUUGUGAUGUUGUAUUCUUAAGAAAAAAACAUUGAUUCACUUUGUAAUUAAAAUUGGGCACCCAAAUUCUUCUCAUGUCUCCACCCAUUUGUACCUACCCUCUGCUUUUUCAACCUUCCAAAAGGAAACCUAUAGAAAAAUAUUUAUUUUGAAGCUAAUUUGUGUUAAUGCAUCCCAUAGUAUACCCUUUGGUCCAUGUCUUUUCCUGCAGUUAUUCAUUGCAAUGGCUCAUUGAUCUAGUGUCUUAGUCAGGGUUUCUAUUCCUGCACAAACAUCAUGACCAAGAAGCAAGUUGGGGAGGAAAGGGUUUAUUCAGCUUACAUUUUCUACAUUGCUGUUAAUCACCAAAGGAUGUCAGGACUGGAACUCAAGAAGGAAUAAUACCUAACUGGUUCUCUGAAGGCACAAUUACUCUGAUAUCUAAAGCUCACUAGGCCCAACCAAAAAAAGAGAACACCUGAAUAAUCUUAUUUAUGAACAUCAAUGCAAAUAUACCCAAAUAUAAUUCUUGCAAACUGAAUCCAAGAAUACAUAAAAACUAUCAUUCACCAUGACAAAGUAGGCUUCAUUAAAGGAAUGCAAGUUUGGUUUGAUAUAAAAAAAUCCAUUAAUGUAAUCCACUAUAUAAACAAACUAAAAAAAUAUAUAUAUAAUCAUCUCCUUAGAUGCAGAAAAAGCAUUUGACAAAAUACAACACCCCUUCAUGUUAAAAGUUUUAGAGAUCAGGAAUCCAAGGCCCAUAUCUAAACACAAUAAAAGCAAUUUAUUGCAAACCAACAGCCAAUAUCAAAUUAAAGAGAGACACACUUGAAGCAAUCCCACUGAAAUUGAGGACAAGAUAAGGAUGCCCACUCUCCCAAUAUCUAUUCAAUAUAGAAAUCAAAGUGUUAGCUAGAACAAUAAGACAACAAAAAGAGAUCAAGGGGAUACAAAUUGGUAAGGAAAAAUAAAGAUAUAACUAUAUGCAAAUGAUAUGAUAGUAUAUAUAAGUGACAUCAAAAUUUUAACUGAGAAUUUCUCCAGCUGAUAACAACUUCAGCAAAGUACCCUUCCUUUAUACAAAGGAUAAACAUGAUGAGAAAGAAAUUAGGAAAGCAACACCCUUCACAAUAGUCAAAAAUAAUAUAAAAUAUUUUGGGGUAACUCUAACCAAACAAGUGAAAAACCUUUAUGACAAUAACCUCAUGUCCCUCCAAAAAGAAAUUAAAGAAGAUCUCAGAAAAUGGAGAGAUCUCCCAUGCUCAUGGGUUGGCAGAAUUAACGUAGUAAAUAUGGCCAUCCUACCAAAGGCAAUCUAUAGAGUCAAUUCAAUCCCCAUCGAAAUCCCAAUAAAAUUAUUCAAAGACAUGGAAAAAUCAGUUCUCAAAUUCAUCUGGAAAGGCAAAAAAAAAAACCAAAACAAACAAACAAACAAAAAACCCAAAAAAAACCCAAAACCAAAAACAAAAAACAAAACAGAAUAGUAAAAACAAUUCUUAACAAUAAAAGGAAUCGCCAUCCCUGACCUCAAUCUUUACUACAGAGGAAUAGUGAUAAAAACUGCAUGGUAUUGGUAUAGAGACAGACAUGUUGAUCAAUGGAAUAGAAUUGAUGACCCAUAAAUAAAACCACACACUUAGAGACACUUGACGUUUGACAAAGACGCCAAAAAUAUACAAUGAGAUAAAGAAAGCAUCUACAAUAGAUAGUGCUGGUCUAACUGGCUGUCCUUAUGUAGAAAACUAAAAAUAGACCCAUAUUUUUCACUUUGCACAAAGCUCAAGUCCAACUGGAUCAAGGAACUCAACAUAAAACCAGAUACACUGAAUCUAAUAGAAAAGAAAGAGGGAAAGAGCAUUGAACUCAUUUGCACAGGGGGAAAUUUCCUAAACAGAACUCUAAUGGCUCAUGCUCUUAGAUCAAGAAUUGAUAAAUGGAUCCUCAAGAAACUGGAAAGCUUCUGUAAGGCAAAGGACAUAGCCAAUAAGACAAAUGGGGUAAAGAACUAAAUUGAGAAUUCAAACCUGAGGACUCUUGAAUGGCUGAGAAGCACCUAAAGAAAUAUUAAAACUCCCAAGUGAUGAGAGAAACGCAAAUCAAAACAACACUGAUAUUUCACCUUACACCAUUCAGAAUGGAUAGAUCAAAUCCUCAGGUGACAACUUGUGUUGAAGAGGAUGUGGAGAAAGAGGAACACUCUUCUACUAUUGAUGGUGGAAUUGCAAACUGGUACAACCAAUCUGGAAAUCAAUCUGAAGCUUCCUCAGGAAAUUGGAAAUAGAACUACCUGAAGACCCAGCUAUACCACUCUCAGAAAUACAUGGAAAAGAUGCCCCACUAUACUGGUUGGUUUUUUGUCAACUUGACACCAGCUGGAGUAUCACAGAGAACGG
rnacentral:lncRNA from 1 species